CGACCUGAGCUCAGACGAGAUGACCCGCUGAAUUUAAGCAUAUCAGUAAGCGGAGGAAAAGAAACUAACCAGGAUUCCCCGAGUAAUGGCGAAUGAAACGGGAAGAGCCCAUCCCGAAUCCCCCGUACCUCCUCAAAGGCCAACGGGUGGAGCUGUGGGGUAGGAGGCGCCGUCGCGAUGUAGGGUUGACCCGUUCCUAAGUCUUCUGGAAUGUGGCCACAGCCCCGAGAUGGUGAUAGGCCCGUGAGGGACCAGGUCCCCUAGUCGCGUCACGCUGGUGUCCUCGAGAGUCCGGCUGCUUGGGAGUGCAGCCCAAAGGUGCCCGAGAGGGUUGUGGGUGGUAGGCUCCAUCCAAGGCUAAAUACUGGCACGAGACCGAUAGCGCACGAGUACCGUGAGGGAAAGUUGAAAACAACUCUGACCAGAGGGUGAAAAGAGGUGAAACCGCCUGGAUGGAAACGGAUGGGCACACAAGGUCGAACCGGGCGGCACAACCAUGAUGUUGCUCGGGGGCGGGCUCUGGACCUCCCCUAAGGAGGUCUGACCUGUCCCACUCCCCCUACUGAGGGGGGGAGGGAUGGGUCUUCCCGGGACAGGUUGUAGAUGGGGUUCCUUCUGGCUUCCAACGUCGAAGCCGCCGGGCAGAGCUGAGUAAACGCCCUGGCAACCGGUGUCAUGCGGCCCGGUGAGAGAGCCACGGCCGGUUGGGGCCUGGGCCAGAAGUCCGAGGGCUCGGAAGGUAUCCCCUCCUGUAGGGAUUUGACUCUGCUCCUUCCUCGGUCGUCUAACGGCUGGGGGAUGGUUGGUGGGGCAAUCCCUGGAGAUGGUGAGAUGAUCUGGGCCGAUGCUAAGUCAGCUGGCGAGAGAAAGGACAGGCUGGCCCCGACCGUUCCAAUGCAAAGCUAUUCGCUGUCACCUCGACAAGGGGCCAGAGAUGGCCUGAGGUCAUUGGCAGAGCCUGGGUGUGAAGGGGAAUCCCAUUCCCCGUGAUGCCUGAGCCGGCCCAACCCGAUGUGGUCCAAUGACGGCUCCCCUGCUCCGGCGCCGCCCUUUAGACCAUCUGGAGGUGGGUGCCCCCCUGGGCACCUUUCCCCGGGUGCAGCGGGCUGUCCACAGCCCGGCUCCCGGGCCGAGGGGAGAGCGCGCCAAGAUUGGGCCUUAGGAAAUCGGGGGGCUUGAAAAAGAGGCCAUGAAGGCAGAGGCACCCGGACGACAGGGGGUCGGAGACAGAGGGCGGACGAUGGGGGGCUCGCCAUGGCAAAAACAAUGGGAGAGGAAGAGGGGGAGCAUCCGCUUCCCCCCUGCCUAGCCCAGCUGUGGCGGACAGCCCCAAAGAAGGAGAGAGGCCGGCAGGAAUGCCCCUCCUCCGAAAGACAAUGUCCGCUCCUCGGAGCCCCUUCAGGUAGGAAGGGGGAAAGCCGACCCUUAGGCAGAGCGAGCAGUCGUGGCGAGUUGGUAACCCAUCCGACCCGUCUUGAAACACGGACCAAGGAGUCUAACAUGUGCGCGAGUCGCAGGGCGGGCACGAAACCUGUCUGAGGCGCAAGGAAAGGAAAGGCUGAGGUAGGAUGCAGGGGAGCGGGGAAGCCCGCUCUUGGGCCGCACUACCCUCCUCCGGGGGCCCUUCAACGUCCUCGGGGGGAGAGAGCGCACAUGGUGGGACCCGAAAGAUGGUGAACUAUGCUUGGGCAGGCUGAAGCCGAGAGAAAUCUCGGUGGAGGGCCGACGCGGUUCUGACGUGCAAAUCGAUCGCUGGACCUGAGUAUAGGGGCGAAAGACUAAUCGAACCAUCUAGUAGCUGGUUCCCCCCGAAAUAUCCCGCAGGAUAGCUGGCGCCAACAAUCGCAGUUUCAUCCGGUAAAGCGAAUGAGUAGAGGUCGGGGGCCUAUGUGCUGUCGCCUAUUAUCAAACUCUCAACGGGUGCGAGAGCCUGCCCCUCAUCUGGGGGCAGCCGCCGGUGGGAAAAAAAAAAACAAAGAGUGCGGCCGGGGAAAGAGAUCUCUGUCCGAGGGGUCUUGUGGUGUCCCUCUCGACUGGGGGGCCCCCGGUUCCAGUGCCUCCACCGGGUUCCCGCAGGAGACCCCCUCCGCAUGGCCGAACCGACGGCGCAGGCCCUUGAAAGGGAGGGGUGUGGACGCGGGAAUGUAGCUUGAGAAUGCGUGGUGCUAAGUGGGCCACUUUUGGUAAGCAGAACUGGCGCUGUGGGAUGAACCAAAUGGCGGGCUAAGGUGCCUAAAUCGUCACUCAUCAGAUCCCAAGAAAUGUGUCAGUCGGUACAGACAGCAGGACGGUGACCACGGAAGUCGGGAUCCGCUAAGAAGUGUGUAAAAACUUACCUGCCGAACCGCCUGGCCAUGAAAAUGGAUGGCGCUGGAGCGACGUACCGAGACCCGCCCGUUCGUGGGCAGGCGAACAACGGGCAGCGAGGCAAAAAAAGAAAAGAGAAGGAGGGAGCUGGUCCCGUGCCGCCGGGGAAGCCUGAACGAGUAGGGGGGCGCGGAGGUGAGCGCAGAAGCCCGGUCCGUGGGGCCGGGAGGAGCCGCCUCUGGUGCAGAUCUUGGUGGAAGUAGCAAAUACUCCAGAGAGAACCUUGAGGGCCGAAGGGGAGAAGGGUUCCGCGGCGACGUCAUGCGUCCGCGGGUGAGUCGGUCCUGAGAGGUCGGCCAUUGCCGUUUAAAAGGGGGGGCCUUUUGCCCCCUGCGCUCGAAAGGGAAUCAGGCCACGGUUCCUGUACCCAGAACCCGAUAGGAUCGCCCGACUCACGAGUACCGAGGACGGAGUCUAGCAGCGGGGAGCAGGGUAGCCGCAUCUGUAUAUACCCCCUUUCUGCGGUUGCUCGGUGAGCUGUUGCUGGUUGAGAGGCUCCCGAUGGGGAAAGGGGCUGGCGUGAAAUGCGGCGACGCGCGCGAGCCAGGAGACGCCAGCGGUCGGACCGGCCAGGACUAUCUCUUCUGGUUGAGAGACGGUGAGCCCCCCGGAGUUUGGGCUUCGGGCCGAGAAGGGGGGGAAGUACUCGCAAAGCGUCCCCGAGUAGGGCGUCCGGGAACCGUCCGCUGGCCCUUGAAAAUCCUGGGGAGAGACUGUAGUAAGCCAAAAACAAAAUCGAUUCGGGCCUGGGCCGUACCGAUAUCCGCAUCAGGUCUCCAAGGUUUGAAGCCUCUGGCCAAUAGAACACUGUAGGUAAGGGAAGUCGGCAAAUUGGAUCCGUAACUUCGGAAGAAGGAUUGCCUCUGGGGGCCGGGCAGCACCUGGUCCGACCGGAAGCGGAGAAGGGGCCCGCCUGUCAAAUGCUGGGGGGCAACCCGCCGUGGAAGGGCACGACUUAAGUGGCCGGGAAUCGAGUGCGCGUCGCCGUAGGGCCGCGCCCCCGCAACCGCAAGGGCUGCCGGAGCGGUCGACGUGGAGGUGUCACGGUCCGGGGGAAUCCGACUGUCUAAUUAAAACAUAGCCUCUCGAAAACCGGCGAUCGGUGCUGACGGGAGGUGAAUUCUGCCCAGUGCCCUGAAUGUCAAAGUGGAGAAAUGCACAUAAGCGCGGGUAAACGGCGGGAGUAACUAUGACUCUCUUAAGGUAGCCAAAUGCCUCGUCAUCUAAUUAGUGACGCGCAUGAAUGGAUUAACGAGAUUCCCACUGUCCCUACCUACUAUCUAGCGAAACCACAGCCAAGGGAACGGGCUUGGCGAAGACAGCGGGGAAAGAAGACCCUGUUGAGCUUGACUCUAGUCCGACUCUGGCAGGCGGCGCGGGCGGUGUAGCAUAGGGAGGAGACCCCACCGAGGCGCAUCCCGUCGUCAGGGACAGCCGGGGGCUAGCACGGGUGCGGGGUUGGUAGAGCGCGGACCCUCCUCUGCCCUGGCGUGUGCGUGGCAUGGGGGCUGGCCUGCUGGCUGGACCCCUGGAUCGCUUGCGUCGGGCGGAGGAGAUCGCGCCUCCCUCCGUCUCGCUGGUUGGUCUCUGAGCACCCUGGUGGCGGCUCAACGGGGACCCGAGCUUGAAAUACUCCCACGUGCGCGUCCGUCUGCCUCCAUCCGGUGAAGCGGGCUUUGGGCGUUACCCCCAUGGCCGGUUGGGGGGCCGUUUUAUCACACAAGAGCUAAGUCGCCCCCUCGCGUCCUGCACAGCAGGUUCGGCGAGGCCGGCGGCGACCCGGUCCGGAGACAAAGUCAGGCGGGGAGUUUGGCUGGGGCGGUACGCCCGUCAAAUGAUAACGCGGGCGACCUAAGGCCAGCUCAGCUGCGGUUAGAAACCUGGCGUAGAGCACAAGGGCAAAAGCUGGCUUGACCGAGCGCAUCCAGUAAGUGCGCCGGCUGCGAAAGCAAGGCCUAGAGAUCCUCUCGGACCCACAGUGGUGCCUGGGAGCGCAGAUCAGGGGAGAGGUGUCAGAAAAGUUACCACAGGGAUAACUGGCUUGUGGCGGCCAAGCGUUCCUAGCGACGUCGCCGUUUGAUCCUUCGAUGUCGGCUCUUCCUAUCACGGCGAGGCAGGACUCGCCAAGCGUUGGAUUGUUCACCCACCAACAGGGAACGUGAGCUGGGUUUAGACCGUCGCGAGACAGGUUAGUUUUACCCUACUGUUGACCGUUGGAUGUCGAAGCGGCAGGGCUGCUCAGUACGAGAGGAACAGUGGACCCGGGCCUCUGGUUUUGCGGUGGGCCGAACGACCCGUGCCGCCAAGCUAGGCCCGUCCGAACGCCUCUCUUGUCCGUCCGUCCUGCGGGCGGGCGGGAGUGGGUGUGCAGGUAGGGCUGAACGCCUCUAAGCUCGGACCGGAUCCGCAGGAGACGACAGACGAUCAAGACCGAUCGGCGCUGGGGCACAACCCGCGGCGGCCGAUGCCUUUGCACUGCCUGCCCGUUGGCUCCCACUCCCCAAUAGACUCCCAUUAGACACUCAGGGUAGGGGAGAGGGGGAAAGUGGCGGGAGGGGCGGUGGAGGUCGACCGUUGCGGGCGGACGUGCCCAGGCAAGACGAGGGCGGCGGGAGGUUGGCCGGUCAAGUGCUGGCCAGGUGGCCCAUCAUCCCUGGUAGGAAGUAAAGAGGGGUGGUCUCGGUCGGUGGUUCCGGCCACCCCCUCCAGGUAGGGGCG
rnacentral:rRNA from 1 species